AUUUUGGACAAUGGGCGAAAGCCUGAUCCAGCAAUGCCGCGUGUGUGAAGAAGGCCUUCGGGUUGUAAAGCACUUUUUUCUGGAAAGAAAUGGCUCUGGUUAAUACCUGGGGUCGAUGACGGUACCGGCAGAAUAAGGACCGGCUAACUACGUGCCAGCAGCCGCGGUAAUACGUAGGGUCCAAGCGUUAAUCGGAAUUACUGGGCGUAAAGCGUGCGCAGGCGGUUGUGCAAGACAGAUGUGAAAUCCCCGAGCUUAACUUGGGAAUUGCAUUGGUGACUGCACGGCUAGAGUGUGUCAGAGGGGGGUAGAAUUCCACGUGUAGCAGUGAAAUGCGUAGAGAUGUGGAGGAAUACCGAUGGCGAAGGCAGCCCCCUGGGAUAACACUGACGCUCAUGCACGAAAGCGUGGGGAGCAAACA
rnacentral:rRNA from 1 species